rnacentral:rRNA from 1 species
ACGCUGGCGGCGUGCCUAAUACAUGCAAGUAGAACGCUGAAGGAGGAGCUUGCUUCUCCGGAUGAGUUGCGAACGGGUGAGUAACGCGUAGGUAACCUGCCUGGUAGCGUGGGAUAACUAUUGGAAACGAUAGCUAAUACCGCAUAAGAGUAGAUGUUGCAUGACAUUUGCUUAAAAGGUGCAAUUGCAUCACUACCAGAUGGACCUGCGUUGUAUUAGCUAGUUGGUGGGGUAACGGCUCACCAAGGCGACGAUACAUAGCCGACCUGAGAGGGUGAUCGGCCACACUGGGACUGAGACACGGCCCAGACUCCUACGGGAGGCAGCAGUAGGGAAUCUUCGGCAAUGGACGGAAGUCUGACCGAGCAACGCCGCGUGAGUGAAGAAGGUUUUCGGAUCGUAAAGCUCUGUUGUAAGAGAAGAACGAGUGUGAGAGUGGAAAGUUCACACUGUGACGGUAUCUUACCAGAAAGGGACGGCUAACUACGUGCCAGCAGCCGCGGUAAUACGUAGGUCCCGAGCGUUGUCCGGAUUUAUUGGGCGUAAAGCGAGCGCAGGCGGUUAGAUAAGUCUGAAGUUAAAGGCUGUGGCUUAACCAUAGUACGCUUUGGAAACUGUUUAACUUGAGUGCAAGAGGGGAGAGUGGAAUUCCAUGUGUAGCAGUGAAAUGCGUAGAUAUAUGGAGGAACACCGGUGGCGAAAGCGGCUCUCUGGCUUGUAACUGACGCUGAGGCUCGAAAGCGUGGGGAGUAAACAGGAUUAGAUACCCUGGUAGUCCACGCCGUAAACGAUGAGUGCUAGGUGUUAGACCCUUUCCGGGGUUUAGUGCCGCAGCUAACGCAUUAAGCACUCCGCCUGGGGAGUACGACCGCAAGGUUGAAACUCAAAGGAAUUGACGGGGGCCCGCAC